CAGUCGCCACGGUAACACGGAGGGAGCUAGCGUUGUUCGGAAUUACUGGGCGUAAAGCGCGCGUAGGCGGUUACUCAAGUCAGAGGUGAAAGCCCGGGGCUCAACCCCGGAACUGCCUUUGAAACUAGGUAACUAGAAUCUUGGAGAGGUCAGUGGAAUUCCGAGUGUAGAGGUGAAAUUCGUAGAUAUUCGGAAGAACACCAGUGGCGAAGGCGACUGACUGGACAAGUAUUGACGCUGAGGUGCGAAAGCGUGGGGAGCAAACAGGAUUAGAUACCCCAGUAGUCCCUGUCUCUUAUAC
rnacentral:rRNA from 1 species